rnacentral:piRNA from 1 species
UACUCCAGGUAAAACUGUAGGCUUUACUCAA